UUGGGACAUUUUAGAUUAAAUACAAUUAUAUUGUUAAAUAUUAAUUUAUUAUUAGUAUUAUUGUCUCUCCAGCCUGCACCGGUGCAAGCCCUCCACAUGGUGGUGCUGCAGGGGAAAGGAACCAAAGCUCCUCUACAGGGACCUCUCAGCUACCUGGACCAGAGCAAGAGGUCCACACCAUUUCUCACUGCUGAGAUAGUUUCAGUGGCAGACGUUGUUCUCUGGGCGGCCCUCUACCCAAUCCUCUCGGACAGCAGUCUGGUGUCAGGUAGAGCUGUAUAACCGUUACACGGUGUUGUGUCCCCCUGCUCUGGUCAACCACCUGGUACCUACAGGACUCUGCCUUCUCCUGGGCCGACAUGGCCAUAAAUUCUGAACUGCUCAAUAACCUGGGCAACAUCAUCAACAGAGCUGGUGUUUGUCAGUAAGUCCUUUGAGAACUGUGUCUCUGCUAUAGGGCUUCAGCAGGAGGAUAAGAGACUGUUGUCCCAGGUGGGAUGGGAGAUGAAGCAAUACAUCAACCUCAUGGACAAAGUCAAGUAAAGAACAGGCUACACACACACACUGUAAACAGGCUACACACAACCAAGUUACACACCAACAGGCUAUCAACGUGUUGUUAUGCAUUUAUAAGCUAAGUAGUAUUUCUCCUUAAAAGUUGAGAUGAUAGCAUUACCGAUCCAUAUAGACUGUGAAAUGGAUGAUGCUAUCCCAUCUCUUUUCUUUUCUGGAAGAAAAACUAUUUAGUACACACCAGUAUUUCCUCUGGAAAAUGUGUUAGCUGUGUCGGAAAAGUUAGUGGGGGUUUAAGGGUUGGUCCCAUCUUUUUGGGGGGAUUCCCGGGGUCCUCACCCCCAUAACAAAGUAUUUAUAAGUACUGAAAAUAUUGGUUCUCGUAACUUUUUAAAAGGAAAAAAACUCAAAUAAACCAUUGAGUGCUGCAGCUAUCUAAAGAAACAUAACAGAGACCUUUGUUCUGAAAUAAAAAAGUUUAGCUUGACAAGAUUAACAGGAACAUUUGACUGAACACGAAUUAGAGCCCACUAAUUCAUGUUAAUCAUAAAAGUAGGGUGUUGGAAAUCUCUUUCCAGGUUCUGCCAAAAACCUUGUUUUGACAUUGCUGUUACGGUUUUCUUCCGUCGAAAGAGAGUCGGACCAAAAUGCAGCGUGGUAAGUUAGAUACAUGUUUAAU